AGCAACCGCAGCCUUUCGGUCCCCACCUGGCCUCCCUGGGGGCAUUUCUGCAGAGUUCCCGGCACAUCCCCUCAAUUUGAUUAGAAGCAGGAAGGAUCAGUGGCUCAUCGGCGACCCGAGCCACACUGGCUCCAGAGCUGGCCUGGCAGGCUUGGGGCUGGGCCGGGGCUCUCCCAGUUGUCUCCCUGUGUGCCCCCGACCCGGGGCUUGGGAUGUAUGUCAUCGCCCCCAGCUGACCUCCUGCAUCAUGGGUGUUCUUGUUGGCAAAGACGGCGAGACCCAAUGUCCUGCUGGAUAGCUGUCUGGAGGUGCAGGCUGGUGAGGAUCCAAGUGGAGUAGACGGCACCCAGCCCCAGAAGGCCUCACAGCAGGUACAGAGCAGCACCAGGCCUGGUACCCAACUACUUCCAGGGCCUGGCUGGGUUUUAUCUACUUUG
rnacentral:lncRNA from 1 species